UUACAUACCUGGCAAGUAAGAUACCAUUGCACUCCGGGUGUGCUGACCCCUGCAAUUUCCCCAAAUGCAGGAAACUUGACUACUGUACAUGAUUUGUGGUAGUGGGGGACUGCGUUCGUGCUCUCCCCUG
rnacentral:snRNA from 1 species